rnacentral:rRNA from 1 species
UACGUAGGUGACAAGCGUUGUCCGGAUUUACUGGGCGUAAAGAGCGCGCAGGCGGUCGUUCAAGUCGAGUGUGAAAGCCCCCCGGCUCAACUGGGGAGGGUCAUUCGAUACUGAUCGACUCGAAGGCAGGAGAGGGUAGUGGAAUUCCCGGUGUAGUGGUGAAAUGCGUAGAUAUCGGGAGGAACACCAGUGGCGAAGGCGACUA